UACGUAGGGAGCGAGCGUUGUCCGGAUUUACUGGGUGUAAAGGGUGCGUAGGCGGCUUUGCAAGUCAGCUGUGAAAUCUAUGGGCUCAACCCAUAAAUUGCAGUUGAAACUGUAGAGCUUGAGUGAAGUAGAGGUAGGCGGAAUUCCCAGUGUAGCGGUGAAAUGCGUAGAGAUUGGGAGGAACACCAGUGGCGAAGGCGGCCUACUGGGCUUUAACUGACGCUGAGGCACGAAAGCGUGGGUAG
rnacentral:rRNA from 1 species